rnacentral:rRNA from 1 species
GUGAGGAAUUUUGCGCAAUGGGGGAAACCCUGACGCAGCAACGCCGCGUGGGUGAAGAAGGCCUUCGGGUCGUAAAGCCCUGUCAGGUGGGAAGAAUGUCCCCAGGGUGAACAAUUUUGGGGAGUGACGGUACCACCAGAGGAAGCACCGGCUAACUCCGUGCCAGCAGCCGCGGUAAUACGGAGGGUGCGAGCGUUGUUCGGAAUCAUUGGGCGUAAAGGGCGUGCAGGCGGUUGGGUAAGUCUGAUGUGAAAGCCCGGGGCUCAACCCCGGAAGUGCAUUGGAAACUGUCCGACUUGAGUACCGGAGAGGAUGGGGGAAUUCCCGGUGUAGAGGUGAAAUUCGUAGAGAUCGGGAGGAAUACCAGUGGCGAAGGCGCCCAUCUGGACGGAUACUGACGCUGAGACGCGAAAGCGUGGGGAGCAAACAGGAUUAGAUACCCGAGUAGUCC